UCUCAUCUGUCUGUCUUUGGGGGAAAGCAAAUAUUCUCUGGGACAAAACAAAAAGAUUUUUAUCAUAUAGAAAAUGUAUAAGUAAAUUAUCUAACAAUGAAAGACUGGGAUUGACUGUGCUCAAAUGUGAUAAAGAUAGAGAAAGAGAGAGGGAGGGAGAGAGAGAGAGAGAGAGAGAGAGAGAGAGAGAGAGAGAGAGAGAGCUCACAAAAAAAGAGUAUGAGCAGACAUGAGAAAGACUGCCUCCUGAGAACAGACUCUUGAAAUGAAUCAUCCAUGAGCUUGUACCUGCCCCCAUGUGUGAAGUGAUGUUUCUCCCAAUCUGGAGACCCACAAUUGGCUGAGGCUGGGCACAACGACAGAUGAAUGCUACUCUGGAUUGUGAAACAGUCUCUCAUCUUAUGUGCCUGGCAGAACUGCGUCUGUUCAGGAUGCUGAAACACAGGAGCCAGGGACACUGCCUAGGUAAUGGGCUAACUAGUCAUCCCUGUCAUUUUGAUUGGCACAUGGAUUGGUAUUUAUUUAGCUUAUAAUUUAUCCUUCUCAGGUCUCUGAACACCUUGACGGCUAUGCUAAGCUUACGGUAGCUUUGCAGCUAGAGAAAAGACAAUUAGAUCGACUGUUAGCUCAUUGAUCAGCUCAUUAGCUAGAACCACAGAGUACUAGAUACCUUAUUUAGAAAAAAGACAGGUUUGCCUUGCUCACAGGACUCAUGUCUUAAGAUAAAUAAGUGGAGCUUACAUAGGGUCUGAGAAUACAGGAGUUUAGGUUGUAAAAAUCUAGAGUGUUAUUAUUUAGUUUAAAAAAAUGUUUCAGGGUUGAUAAAUUCAAAAGAUUGGAGAGUCUAAGUAGUUUUUUAAAGAUAUAAUUAUAAGUUAUAAAGAGAUAAUUAAAGCAGAUUAAAAAUGGGAAAUAUUUUAAAUUUCUCCCCCCUUUGCUACUGUUGUGCUUAUGUUAUAAAAUUUUAAAAGUUCAGAGUGUUGACAUUGAUCAAUAGAGUUCUGAUAAGUUGAUGGAGCAAUAACUGCUUAUUAUUCAGUCACCAGGUUAAGAUUUUAAUUUCCUUUGUUGGCUUCUGAAGAUAGACUAAAGGUGCUUCUCGUUAUUUUAAAAACAUCUGUUUAAUGUGUGUAUCUGACCCAAAAGUCAUAGCUUUUAGUAUGGUAUUCUUAAUAUCUGCCAUUUCUGGGGUAGAUUUUGACACAGAAAUAUCCUAAACCUAUUCCUUCUAGUUGCUUUGUUAAGGAAAGUCCAAGCAUCCAGGGUUUAGCACUAAAAGCCAGUAAUGUAUUUCUGCCUAACUUUCCAGUGUAAACAUAAAAGUAAAAGUGAAAACUAAAAGUAUAUGCUGAGUGUAUAAAAAUAGCCAAGCUUCAUUCGUGACUAAUUACAAACAGCUAUGCCCACAGAAGGAAAAAAAAAUGUUACUGUGGACACACUUAGGUUGUGUAUAAAAGUUAUAAAACAAACAGCUAACUGAUACUCAUUCAGUGGGAUGCAGUUUUACCUGUUCCUCUCAAAAUGUUUGAUUUGCUGAUAUGUUACUUUUCUGAGUAUUUAAAAUUAUGUAUAUUUCCUUUUGUGUACUAAAAUUUCAUAUGAGUUUCAGGGAUGUGACCUGGAUCUGGCAUAGCUCAAAAGGAUCGCAGAUGAGAUUUUCCCUGAUCUUUCCCAUUUAAUAGACAAAUUUUAACUCCUGUCUCCAGUCUGAAUUUGUCUCAGCAGAUCUUCACCUGUUUAACUCUGUCCGGGAUCAGCUGUGGACUGCAAGCUGAGAUCUGGACUUCCUGGAAACUGACAUGAUUGCUCCCUGCCUCUUCGGGUGGAUCAACGAACCAGAUGCUUGGGACUUCCCCAUUGCCCAGGCUUUGACUGGCAUUUCAGCCUUCCUAGCCCCUGAUGCCUACGGUCCAACGGUCAGCUCGAAGAAGCUCCAGAAGACGGAUCUACGCCCAAAUCCCCCCUAGCAGGCUGAAAUGCUAAGUCAAAAGGGGCUCCCUGGCAAUAAUGCUGGGGGGACUAACGGUUGGGGGCAUAGCCGCAGGGAUUGGGACUGGGGCCACCACCCUAUCAGCGACCCAUCAGUUCCUACAACUUUAACAAGCUAUGCAUGCCGAUCUACAGGCGUUAGAAGAAUCAGUAAGUGCCUUGGAGAAAUCCUUGACCUCACUGUCUGAGGUAGUUCUACAGAACCGUAGAGGGCUAGAUAUCCUCUUUUUGCAAGAGGGAGGACUAUGUGUGGCUCUAAAAGAGGAGUGCUGUUUCUAUGCCGAUCACACCGGACUAGUCAGAGACAAUAUGGCCAAACUUAGAGAGAGACUUAAUCAGAGAGAAAAGCUCUUCAAUGAAAGACAAAGUUGGUAUGAAAGCUGGUUCAAUAAGGCCCCCUGGUUCACCACUCUUGUUUCCUCUCUCAUGGGCCCCUUAAUUAUAAUUCUUUUAAUUCUACUUUUCGGGCCUUGCAUUCUAAAUAGGUUAGUUCAGUUUAUGAAGGACCGGCUCUCCGUCAUACAGACGUUAGUGCUAACCCAGCAGUAUCAUCAACUCAAGCAGCUGGAGACGGAGAUUGACUCUCCCUAGACCUGCAGAAUGAAGGAUUCCAUUCUAAGCUAGAAGAAAAAUGGGGGAAUGAAAGAAUAAAGUCCUAGCAUAAUGCUGACCCUGCUCACAAUCUGCCUUCCCGCCUUCCCUGUUCUGGGUACGUGACUUAACUACGGCUUUGUUCAAACCACCCAAUCAGACCCCUGUAACUAUGCUUCUCGCUUCUGUAACCGCGCCUCCUGCUCCCGAGCCCUAUAAAAACCUGUCACCCCAACCGAGAGGCGCGCAAGUCCUCCGAUAGGCUUGGUCGCCCCGGGUACCCGUGUAUCAAAAUAAACCUCUUGCGGCUUGCA